rnacentral:misc_RNA from 1 species
AACUUUUGGCAAUGGAUCACUUGGCUCUCGCAUCGAUGAAGAACGCAGCGAAAUGCGAUAAGUAAUGUGAAUUGCAGAAUUCAGUGAAUCAUAGAAUCUUUGAACGCACCUUGCGCUCCUUGGUAUUCCGAGGAGCAUGCCUGUUUGAGUGUCAUUAAUAUAUAUCAAACUUCUCUUGUUGAGUUGUUUGGAUGUGGGGGUUUGCUGGCCUCUUAAAGGGGUUCAGCUCUCCUGAAAUGCAUUAGCAGAACAACCUGUUCAUUGGUGUGAUAACUAUCUACGCUAUUGAAUGUGAAGGGAAGUUCAGCUUUCUAACAGUCCUUGGACAAUUUACAUCAUUAAUGUGACCUCAAAUCAGGUAGGACUACCCGCUGAAUUUAAGCAUAUCAAUAAGCGGAGGCU